CCCGAAAUGUGUUGAGGCGCAGUAGUUGACUGGACAUCUAGGGGUAAAGCAUUGUUUCGGUGCAAGCCGUGAAAGCGAUACCAAAUCAAGGCAAACUUUAAAUACUAGAUAUGACUUCAAAAUAACAAGGAUCGAGGUCAGCCAGUGAGACGAUGGGGGAUAAGCUUCAUCGUCGAGAGGAAAACAGCCCGGAUCACCAGCUAAAGCCCCUGAAUGACCGCUUAGUGAUAAAGAAGGUAGGGGUGCAGAGAUUUGCACUCAAAGGUAGGG
rnacentral:ncRNA from 1 species